UCUUCCCAUUCCGAACAGAGAAGUUAAGCCUUUCAGCGCCGAUGGUACUGCUAUUGCGGGAGAGUAGGUCGUCGCCAGUC
rnacentral:rRNA from 1 species